UACGGAGGGUGCAAGCGUUGUCCGGAUUUACUGGGUGUAAAGGGUGCGUAGACGGCUAUGCAAGUCAGAAGUGAAAUCCAUGGGCUUAACCCAUGAACUGCUUUUGAAACUGUGUAGCUUGAGUGAUGUAGAGGUAGGCGGAAUUCCCGGUGUAGCGGUGGAAUGCGUAGAGAUCGGGAGGAACACCAGUGGCGAAGGCGGCCUACUGGGCAUUAACUGACGUUGAGGCACGAAAGCAUGGGUAGCAAACAGG
rnacentral:rRNA from 1 species